CUGUGCAAAUACCCCAGUGUCAUGGUCUACAGAGUUGAUACUGUACCACAGCAAUUUAGAAGCAGUGAAAAUGGACUUUAUAGUCUUACGGAUCAGCAGAGUGGACUGGGCUUAUAAGAAAGAUUUUCUGAUAGAAAAGCCGAAGGAUGCCAGCACCAUGUUUCCCUGGACCAACAGUGAUUUAGGAUUUACAGAAAUUAUGACAACUGCAGGCCAAUUCUGUAGAAAUGGCACAGUGAAGAAAUGACAGAGAUGAUCUUUUAAAAGAAGAGCUGGAAAAUUGUUUCACUGCCUCUUCUCACCCCCAAACUCAAUUACUGCUCAA